UACAGAGGUCUCAAGCGUUGUUCGGAUUCACUGGGCGUAAAGGGUGCGUAGGUGGCGAGGUUAGUCAGGUGUGAAAUCUCGGGGCUCAACCCCGAAACUGCACUUGAUACUGCCUUGCUAGAGUACUGGAGAGGAGAUUGGAAUUUACGGUGUAGCAGUGAAAUGCGUAGAUAUCGUAAGGAAGACCAGUGGCGAAGGCGAAUCUCUGGACAGUUACUGACACUGAGGCACGAAGGCCAGGGGAGCAAACGGG
rnacentral:rRNA from 1 species